UGCUGUCCAACCACCUACACCAAGGCCCCAGGCACAGGGACAGUGCCUCCCAGCUGAGCUCCCCAUCUGCCCUCCUCAGCUGCAAGCGAGAUGGUUUCUUUUCAAGCUGAACUCCUUCGAUUUCCUCAGGGAGACCUUAAUCCACCGAGCUGUGAUGGACUGAAGGCGGGUGCUGUGGUGAAUGGUGAGGGUUAGCAAGGGGCUGGGUGUAGCUGAGGCUGAGAUCCCCUUGCAGAGCACUCACGGCCAUGUUGUGCACUGGACUGCCAGCUCUCCAGGAUGAGGCCCAUUUGUUGGCUCCCACCUGAGUACAGCUCUGGUUUCCAUUAGAUCCUCUGGUUUGAGUCCCUCCAUUAUGUUCACUAUGGCAUCACCUGUUAGGAACUUUUGAAAGUCUUCAUUCAAAGAGUUCUGUUCCCCGUGUCACAUCAGCAAGAGACUCCUGUUUCCCAGGGUGAUUGGUGCAGACUGUCUGGAGGCAUUGACUUCUUA